GAGCUGAGAGCCAACUCAAUGUCUCAGAGGACCGUUGUUAGGAGCUGAAAAUGCUCUGGAGAACCACCUGCUUUCUCCUUCAGACAAACCGCUUUUCUUCUCUCUCUGUUCCAUUCAUCACCCAAAUGACCUCCCAUUUCCCUCCAAUUUCAAAUCUGAAACACCUUUGCAUCAAAGGCCACUUAAAAGAUGCCUUGAUAGAAAUGGCAAUUCAAGGGGAACAGAUGUGUUUCGAAGGCUACGAUUCUUUGUUAACACAAUGUGUGAACCAGAAAGCUGUUAGAGAGGGCCAGAGAGUCCAUGCCCACAUGAUAAAAACUCGUUAUCUCCCACCUGUUUACCUUAGAACCAGGCUUAUUGUUAUGUAUAAUAAGUGUAAUUAUCUUAAUGAUGCUAGGCAAGUGCUUGAUGAAAUGCCUGAAAGGAAUGUUGUUUCUUGGACGGCCAUGAUUUCUGCUUAUUCUCAGAGGGGAUAUACAUUUGAAGCUUUGGAUCUCUUUGUACAGAUGUUAAGAUCAGGUACACUGCCGAAUGAGUUCACUUUUGCGACGAUACUUACUUCUUGUUCAGGUGCUUGUGGCUUAAACCAUGGUAGGCAAAUCCACUCUCUCUUAAUCAAGAGGAACUUUGAAUCACACAUAUUUGUUGGGAGCUCACUUCUUGACAUGUAUGCCAAAUCUGGUGAAAUCCAUGAAGCACGAGGAGUCUUUGAAAGGUUGCCCGAAAGGGAUGUUGUGUCUUGCACUGCAAUCAUUGCUGGCUAUGCUCAAUUAGGUCUUGAUGAAGAUGCAUUAGAAUUAUUCCGCCAGUUACAGAAGGAAGGGAUGGAAUCGAAUUAUGUGACCUAUGCUAGUGUUUUAACUGCAUUGUCUGGGCUCGCUGCAUUGGAUCAUGGCCGACAAGUCCACAACAGGGUCCUCCGAUCUGAACUGCUGUCUUAUGUGGUUCUCCAGAAUUCUCUGAUUGAUAUGUACUCAAAAUGUGGAAGCCUCACUUACUCAAGAAUGGUUUUUGAUGGGAUGUCUGAGAGAACUGUCAUCACAUGGAAUGCAAUGCUCGUGGGGUAUGGUAAGCAUGGGCGGGGAAGAGAGGUGGUUGAACUUUUCAGGUUGAUGAGGAAAGAAAAUGAAGUCAAGCCUGAUAGUAUAACUUUCAUGGCAGUUCUAUCAGGUUGCAGCCAUGGGGGGUUGGUUGAUGAAGGGUUGAGUAUUUUUGAUGAAAUGGUUAGUGCAGAAAAUGAAGUUGAACCAGAGAUACAGCAUUAUGGAUGUGUUGUUGAUUUGCUUGGACGUUCUGGACAAGUAGACAGGGCUUUGGCCUUCAUCGAACAGAUGCCAUUUACACCAACUGCAGCUAUUUGGGGUUCACUUUUAGGGGCAUGUAGAGUUCAUGCUAAUGUUCCUGUUGGAGAAUAUGUGGCUCGGCGCCUUUUUGAUAUUGAGCCACAAAAUGCCGGGAACUAUGUUAUUCUUUCAAAUUUAUAUGCUUCUUUGGGAAGAUGGGAAGAUGUGACCAUGUUGAGGCAGUUGAUGAUGGAGAAGUCUGUGACUAAGGAGCCAGGGCGAAGCUGGAUCAAGCAAGGGCGGACAGUACAUAGUUUUCAUGCCAGUGAUCGAUCCCACCCAAGAAAGGAAGAGGUGGUUGCAAAGGUGAAGGAAUUGUCAGAAAAGAUCAAGGAAGCAGGUUAUGUUCCUGAUCUCAGCUGUGUGUUGCAUGAUGUGGAUGAGGAGCAGAAGGAGAGGAUACUUCUUGGCCACAGUGAGAAAUUGGCCCUGGCAUUUGGGAUGAUUGUCACUCCUCCAGGGCUUCCUAUCAGGAUCAUGAAAAAUCUCCGUAUUUGUGUGGAUUGCCAUAAUUUUGCCAAGUAUCUAUCCAAGGGUUAUUUAAGAGAAGUAUUCCUUAGGGAUAGUAACCGUUUUCAUCACAUUGUUGGAGGAACAUGCUCUUGUGGGGAUUACUGGUGAAGAUUCUUCAGAAGCUACCACCUUUUUUCUGUUGCUUUUGGGAAGUCCAAGUAGUGAGAUCCUUCUUUUAUUAUAAAUUUAGGGCUACAAUUGUUUGGCAUGAAAUCGGAACCCCUGUCAUUCAGAAAUUCAGACAUAGUCAAAAUGGAGCUCAGAGGGAAGGAGCAAUAAAAGGAAGGCAGUUGGCAGUUGCUGCUGAUAUACCAUUCAGUUGCCUUCUUGCAAGGAGGAUCAGGUUAUCCUUGAUGGAUAUUUAUGGAGAAAGUAAGAUAAGACUCGCCUUGAAUCAUUAUCUUGGAGCUAAAAUGGGCCAUUUUCUCAUCUUUCAGUAUCAGCUCAUGUUACUUCCUCCUGGUAUAUUCUUUGGGGUUUGAGGAUCUGAAAAGAGCAUAACAGACUUGCGUCCACACUCAUCAGUGCACCUGCAUUGUUGAAUUCUCCACAAUAGUUUGGGGCUGAGAAUAUCGUAACCAGUUGCCGCUCUGCAAAGAACUCGUACCCAUC